GCAAGUCGUGCGAGAAAGUAUCUUCGGAUAUGAGUAGAGCGGCGGACGGGUGAGUAACGCGUAGGAAUCUACCUAGUAGAAGGGGAUAGCCCGGGGAAACCCGGAUUAAUACCGUAUACCUCCUUCGGGAGAAAGAAGGCCUCUCUUUGAAGCUUUCGCUAUUAGAUGAGCCUGCGUAAGAUUAGCUUGUUGGUGAGGUAAAGGCUCACCAAGGCAACGAUCUUUAGCUGGUCUGAGAGGACGAUCAGCCACAUUGGGACUGAGACACGGCCCAGACUCCUACGGGAGGCAGCAGUGGGGAAUAUUGGACAAUGGGCGCAAGCCUGAUCCAGCCAUACCGCGUGUGUGAAGAAGGCCUUCGGGUUGUAAAGCACUUUAAGCAGGGAGAAAAAGUUAUAAGUUAAUACCUUAUGACCUUGGUGUUACCUGCAGAAUAAGCACCGGCUAAUUUCGUGCCAGCAGCCGCGGUAAUACGGAAGGUGCAAGCGUUAAUCGGAAUUACUGGGCGUAAAGCGCGCGUAGGUGGUUUGUUAAGUUGGAUGUGAAAGCCCUGGGCUCAACCUAGGAACUGCAUCCAAAACUAACUCACUUGAGUACGAUAGAGGGAGGUAGAAUUCAUAGUGUAGCGGUGGAAUGCGUAGAUAUUAUGAAGAAUACCGGUGGCGAAGGCGGCCUCCUGGAUCUGUACUGACACUGAGGUGCGAAAGCGUGGGUAGCGAACAGGAUUAGAUACCCUGGUAGUCCACGCCGUAAACGAUGACAACUAGCUGUUGGGAGACAAUGUCUUUCAGUGGCGCAGCUAACGCUUUAAGUUGUCCGCCUGGGGAGUACGGCCGCAAGGCUAAAACUCAAAUGAAUUGACGGGGACCCGCACAAGCGGUGGAGCAUGUGGUUUAAUUCGAUGCAACGCG
rnacentral:rRNA from 1 species